GUUUGAAUCUGGCUGGACCACCAGCCAAGGCUAAAUAUAAUAUACGAUCGAUAGUGAACUAGUACAGUGAUGGAAAGGUGAAAAGAACCCCGGGAGGGGAGUGAAAUAGAUCCUGAAAUUUAGUGCCUACAAGGAGUCGGAGCAGAUUUAUUCUGUGACGGCGUGCUUUUUGUAGAACGAUCCAGCGAGUUAAUUUCGUGCGCAAGGUUAAGUUAGUUAACGGAGCCACAGUGAAAGCGAGCCUGAAUAGGGCGUUUAGUGUACGGAAUUAGACCCGAAACCGGGUGACCUAACCAUGAGCAGGUUGAAGCCACUGUAACAGGUGGUGGAGGACCGAACCAGGAUACGCAGCAAAGUGUUUGGAUGACUUGUGGUUAGCGGUGAAAUGCCAAUCGAACUCGGAGAUAGCUGGUUCUCCUCGAAAUAGCUUUAGGGCUAGCGUCGUGUUAGUAGCACAUGGGGGUAGAGCUCUGUAAAGGACUGGGGCGGGCAACUGUACCCACCCUUAACAAACUACGAAUACCAUGUGUGUAAUCACGGCAGUUAGAACAUCGGUGCUAAGAUCGGUGCUCAAAAGGGAAACAGCCCAGACCAUCAUCUAAGGUCCCUAAAUUAACGUUCAGUGGGAAACAAGGUGAGAUUUCUUAAACAGCUAGGAUGUUGGCUUAGAAGCAGCCAUUCAUUUAAAGAGUGCGUAACAGCUCACUAGUCAAGAGAUCUUGCGUGGAAAAUGUAACGGGGCUAAAACGUUAUACCGAAGAUAUGGAUGUCAGAUUUAUCUGGCGUGGUAGAGGAGCGUUCCUAUCAGCAGUGAAGUCGAAUCGGAAGGUUCGGUGGAGCGGUAGGAAGUGAGAAUGCUGGAAUGAGUAACCAUAAGAGAGGUGAGAAUCCUCUCGGCCGUAAGAGCAAGGUUUCCUGAGCCAUGGUAAUCAUCUCAGGGUUAGUCGGGCCUAAGCCGAGGCGCAGAGCGUAGGCGAUGGACAUCAGGUUAAUAUUCCUGAACCGGUUAAGUUUUGUACACUGUUCACGGGGAAGUAAUCGAAGCGGAUUCAUGGUUUAUCCGUCCAACCGAGCGGGAACGCAAAGGGAGUGAAAGUGAUUCUUCGGAGUCGCGAUUUUGGUGAAAGCCCUGGCUAGAAAAGCAGGUGUACGCGUGGACUUAGCCGCCCGUACCGCAAACCAACACAGGUGCUCGAGUCGAGUAGACUCAGGCUUACGAGCGAACCUUCGCUAAGGAACUCGGCAAUACAGCGACCGUAACUUCGGGAUAAGGUCUGCCCCCACUUCGGUGGAUAUCAGCCGCGUUCACUCAGUGAAUAUUAGGUUAAAGAGUACGUUUUUAAUCACAAAACGAAUUUUCUGAGAUAGAGCAAACGAAUUGUUCUUUUGAACGCGAACCUCUGACGUCUAACGAUGUGGGGGCCGCAGCAAAAGAGCCCACGGAACUGUUUAUCAAAAACACAGGUCUCUGCUAACACGAAAGUGGAUGUAUAGGGGCUGACUCCUGCCCAAUGCUGGAAGGUUAAGGGGAGCGCUUCACGGUGCGAACUGAAGCCCUAGUCAAUGGCGGCGGUAACUAUAACCGUCCUAAGGUAGCGAAAUUCCUUGUCAGGUAAGUUCUGACCCGCACGAAUGGAGUAAUCAUGUGGGCACUGUCUCAGCGAAGGACUCGGUGAAAGUGCAUUGGCGGUAAAGAUGCCGUCUGUCCGUACCAGGACGAAAAGACCCCAUGGAGCUUUACUACAGCUUUACAUUGAAUAUGGUUUCAACAUGUGUAGCAUAGGUGGGAGACUUUGAAGCAGAUACGCCAGUAUUUGUGGAGUCACCAAGUGAAAUACCACCCUUGUUGUGAUUGUGUUCUCACGCUGACCGUUAUCCGGUUAGCGGACCGUGUAUGGUGGGUAGUUUAACUGGGGCGGUUGCCUCCUAAAGAGUAGCGGAGGCGUUCAAAGGUUGGCUAACUUCGGAUGGAAAUCGAAGUGAUAGUGUAUGCGCAUAAGCCAGCUUGACUGUGAGGAGUACAUUCCAAUCAGAGACGAAAGUCGGAGCAAGUGAUCCGCUGUACGUACAUUUGUACAUGAAUGUGGGAUCGACAGCGCAAACGGAUAAAAGUUACCCUGGGGAUAACAGGCUUAUAGCGCCCAAUAGUUCACAUAGACGGCGCUGUUUGGCACCUCGAUGUCGGCUCAUCACAUCCUGGAGGGGGAGCACCUUCCAAGGGUUCGGCUGUUCGCCGAUUAAAGUGGUACGCGAGCUGGGUUCAGAACGUCGUGAGACAGUUCGGUUUAUAUCCGGUAUGGACGAUAGGAAACUUGAGAGGAUCUACCCCUAGUACGAGAGGACCGGGGCGGACGCACCUCUGGUGUAUCGAUUGUGGCCACCUGCUGCAUUGUCGAGUAGCUAUGUGCGGACUAGAUAAGCGCUGAAAGCAUAUUAAGCGCGAAACUAACCUCAAGAUAAGGUUUCCCUAUGAGGACACAGAAAGACUAUCUGUUUGAUAGGCGCAAGGUGGAAGUACAGUAAUGUAUGGAGCUAAAGCGUACUAAUAGUCCCAUUGCCUUUUUA
rnacentral:rRNA from 1 species